ACGGGUGAGUAAUGCCUAGGAAUCUGCCUGGUAGUGGGGGAUAACGUUCGGAAACGGACGCUAAUACCGCAUACGUCCUACGGGAGAAAGCAGGGGACCUUCGGGCCUUGCGCUAUCAGAUGAGCCUAGGUCGGAUUAGCUAGUUGGUGAGGUAAUGGCUCACCAAGGCGACGAUCCGUAACUGGUCUGAGAGGAUGAUCAGUCACACUGGAACUGAGACACGGUCCAGACUCCUACGGGAGGCAGCAGUGGGGAAUAUUGGACAAUGGGCGAAAGCCUGAUCCAGCCAUGCCGCGUGUGUGAAGAAGGUCUUCGGAUUGUAAAGCACUUUAAGUUGGGAGGAAGGGUUGUAGAUUAAUACUCUGCAAUUUUGACGUUACCGACAGAAUAAGCACCGGCUAACUCUGUGCCAGCAGCCGCGGUAAUACAGAGGGUGCAAGCGUUAAUCGGAAUUACUGGGCGUAAAGCGCGCGUAGGUGGUUUGUUAAGUUGGAUGUGAAAUCCCCGGGCUCAACCUGGGAACUGCAUUCAAAACUGACUGACUAGAGUAUGGUAGAGGGUGGUGGAAUUUCCUGUGUAGCGGUGAAAUGCGUAGAUAUAGGAAGGAACACCAGUGGCGAAGGCGACCACCUGGACUAAUACUGACACUGAGGUGCGAAAGCGUGGGGAGCAAACAGGAUUAGAUACCCUGGUAGUCCACGCCGUAAACGAUGUCAACUAGCCGUUGGAAGCCUUGAGCUUUUAGUGGCGCAGCUAACGCAUUAAGUUGACCGCCUGGGGAGUACGGCCGCA
rnacentral:rRNA from 1 species